UUUCCCUGACUUUCUUUCUCCUCUCCUCACACGAUCUCUUCGAGUUCCCUCUCCUCACACAAUCUCCUCUCCACGAUCUCCUCGCACGGAUCUUCUCCUCUCCUCACAUGUUUUUAUCUUCCACCGCUCUCGACGAACCCCUCUCCUCAAAACCCCUUCCCACUCUUCGAUCUCACCUCAUGGCGGUGUUAUAGAUCUUCCCUCCUUUCUCGCCCAUCGUCUCUGCCGAGCUCCAAGCCGUCGUCCUCUUCAACAUCUGCGACUGCUACGUCCGCCACCCCGACUAGGCCGACGGCGUGAUUGGAACCCUCCUAGGCCGAUCGCUCUCUUGCUGAGUGAUCUUCCUCGACGCCGACUUCUCUCUUCUGUGGCUUGGUUGGUUACUCAUCGGGUUCUUGCAGCUUUUUGUAAGAGUUUUCAAAAAUGGGUUCUUCAAGUCAUGCAAAAUCAACAGCUUUGCUUUGUCUGCGACUGGGGAUAGGCUAGUGCGAAGAUAAGAGACACCUUUGAUAUGAUUCCUUCCCUUUUUCUAGUGAUUGACAAGGUUUAAACAUUAGAAGAACUUAUCUUUUUGGCAAGGGGAAGAAGGAUUGAUUCAAGAUUUUAAUUGCCUAAAUGGUUAACUUUGGGAAGAAAUUGAUGGCUAAUCGAGUUCAAGAAUGGGAGAAGUAUGCAGUCUUUGCUAAACUUUAUUUUAGUUUCAAUGCCUAUAUCAAGGGCUAGAUAUUCUGAAUUAUUGGAUUAUGCACAUCCUACCAGCUUGCUUGUGUUUGCCUUUGCUGUUGACAGAAUCAUAGCUUUUUCAAAAUUACUAUUCUGAAAUAUCAUUAAUGGUCUUAACUCCGAAAUCGAUGAGGAUGUUUUUCAAUUUUUUAGCUGCAUAUUACUAUUUUGGAAUGGGCCUUAUAUCAAAUUUAUGUAUACUUUUUAAAUUGUGGAACCAUUCAUGACUCUGAAAGAAUAACAA